GCAUAUCUUCACUGACUUUCUUCAUAACCACCCAUGGACGUCCAUAAAUGUAAGAACAUCCGAUUUCACUUCCAGAAAUACUGUGUUUUACUUUCUUGUUACACUUUCAUCUUCUUACCCAUUGUCUCUUUGGACUGCACAAUAUUCCCACUGUUACCUGGGUUUAUCACUGAGAGACUGGCGUGGAGGCAACACAACUUUAAACUUUACCGUCUGAAGGUAAGUGGGACAACAGAUGCACAGUGGCCAAUCACCAAUAGACCUGGAAAGAAGUGACACGAGUGAGGAAGAAAGUAAGGUUGAGGAUAGUGAAUUUUCAGCUACAUGAUCCACUGAAAAUUGAAAUGAAGAUGAAUGUACAGCUCCAGUGUUAAGUAUCAGUGUGGAAUUUGCAACUUUUAAUUAAAGGUGUUAUGUUUGGGAUUGGUA